CUCACCAUGGGAUGGAACUGGAGCAUCUUCUUCCUCCUGUCAGUAACUACAGGUGUCCACUCCCAGGUCCAGCUGCAGCAGUCUGGUCCUGAGCUGAGGAAACCUGGGUCCUCAGUGAAGUUGUCCUGCAAGGCUUCUGGCUACACCUUCACCAGCUACAAUAUGGACUGGGUGAAGCAGAGUCCUGGACAGGGCUUGGAGUGGAUUGGAGCUAUUAAUCCUGAAAAUGGUAAUACUGGCUAUAAUCAGAAGUUCAAGGACAAGGCCACACUGACUGCAGACACAUCCUCCAGCACAGCCUACAUGGAGCUCAGCAGGCUGACAUCUGAGGACUCUGCGGUCUAUUACUGUGCACGAGACACAGUGUUGAAACCACAUCCUGAGUGUGUCAGAAACUCUGGAGGAGCAGGAAGCUGCCCUGGGACUGAGAUGACAGAGAAGAUUAGACUGGAGACUUGCUCAAAUAUCAUCAUUCUGAAUAUCAAUUUUCCACCUCCUCCUCUGUAA